rnacentral:rRNA from 1 species
AAGCUCGUAGUUGAAUUUCGGGAUUAGUACGUCGGUCGUGCCCUAGGUACGUACUGGUGUUACUGGUUCCUACCUUCUGACGAACCAUCAUGUCAUUAAUUUGGUGUGGUGGGGAAUCAGGACUGUUACUUUGAAAAAAUUAGAGUGUUUAAAGCAGGCUCGCGCUUGAAUACAUUAGCAUGGAAUAAUGAAAUAGGACGUUGAUCCUAUUUUGUUGGUUUCUAGGAUUGACGUAAUGAUUAAUAGGGAUAGUUGGG